rnacentral:rRNA from 1 species
UACGCAGGUGGCGAGCGUUGUCCGGAUUUAUUGGGCGUAAAGCGAGCGCAGGUGGUUUAUUAAGUCUGGUGUAAAAGGCAGUGGCUCAACCAUUGUAUGCAUUGGAAACUGGUAGACUUGAGUGCAGGAGAGGAGAGUGGAAUUCCAUGUGUAGCGGUGAAAUGCGUAGAUAUAUGGAGGAACACCGGUGGCGAAAGCGGCUCUCUGGCCUGUAACUGACACUGAGGCUCGAAAGCGUGGGGAGCAAACAGG